rnacentral:ribozyme from 1 species
CCACGGUAGAGACCGAAGAAUCCAAUUUGGACGAGCAGGCCGUGCGUCCUCCCAGUACAGCGGACAGCCCUGCUUCGCGCUCUCAGUCAACCGA